AUUGCCUUUGCCGGCGAGUACUUCGUUGUUCCGUUCUAUCCUUGUUGUCUCUUGUUAACCUUUUUUUCUGUUUUUGAAUCGUCCGAAAGGCCUUAUUUCAUUCUUUACAUGUUGUAUCAGCCGUGAUACAGAAUCGUUACCAUUCAGUUCCCUGUUUCUCAUUAAGUAGGGAGGAAAUCAAUUCAUGGCCACUUUCUUGAAAAAUUAAUUUUUAAAAGCAAAACAAAGCAUUACAGUUAAGGUCAGAGACCACGUUAUCCACUACUCCGCUUUCCAGAGGUAGCUCUCGUUACUUGUUUGGUGUGCAUUAUUCUGCAAUUUUCUAUACAUUUACUUCAGAACUUGGGAAAUAAAGAUAUGAGGAAAACAGUUCCUGCCGUUAAGGAGCUCUCAAUUUAUUUAGAAAGACAGAAGAGUGGUAAACAAUUAAUUCUUCUGCAAGAGAAAAGGAAGAUUGACCCUGAGCUAACAUCUGUGCCAAUCUUCUUCUACUUU
rnacentral:lncRNA from 1 species